rnacentral:rRNA from 1 species
UACGAAGGGGGCUAGCGUUGUUCGGAAUUACUGGGCGUAAAGCGCACGUAGGCGGACUACUAAGUCAGGGGUGAAAUCCCGGGGCUCAACCCCGGAACUGCCUUUGAUACUGAUAGUCUCGAGUCCGGAAGAGGUGAGUGGAAUUCCGAGUGUAGAGGUGAAAUUCGUAGAUAUUCGGAGGAACACCAGUGGCGAAGGCGGCAUCCUGGACCGGCAUUGACGCUGAGGCGCGAAAGCCAGGGGAGCAAACGGG